rnacentral:lncRNA from 1 species
UAUUCCCUCCUAAUAUUUGGUUCUUGGCGGUGCUUACUUUCAAUUUUUUCAUUUCCAGCGCCAUGCAUUUCCUACCAAUAUCUAGUUCUUCAUCCCUCACCCAAACCGUAGAUGACACAACAGAUGUCGUCGACUUCCACCUCCUGCUUCGGUACAAAAUCUGAAAACCCUAGCUUUUGAUUUUUUCUGAUUUUCUAUUAAUAAAUAGUUAAAUGUUUUGAUUUUUCGUGUCUUCGCUGAUUUCGCUUUGGUUCGUCCUAUGCACGCCUCAAAGACCCUUCCCCUGUAUGCUUUCUUCUCUAGCCAGUGUAUUACCCCGACAAUCUCAUCGAUUUCUACCCACCCGCAGUAAGGUAGCCUCCACGCCGGCACAACAACCCCUUCGAACGGUGUAAUUUCAUCAAGUGUAAAAUUUCUGAUUUUAAGCGGUUUAAAGAAUGGUAAGUAAUAAAAAGCCUCUCCUUCUGUCUUUUAAUUCUCUACAUGUAGCGUAUGAUUGUGUGAAUGUGAUUGUUUCGUACGACCUAAUUGAUUUGUUUUGGUGGAAACUGAAACAUGUAUAAAUAAGAUAAGGUAUUAGGAACUUGGGGUUUAUCCAUUGCACUCUACUUGUUUGUUUAAAUGCCUAAGUCAUCUCCGAACAACAACAAGCAGUUAACCUUUCUUAGCUGUGGCCUUUUACAUCCCUUGAUGCCUGUUUUUUCAAUAAAACAACUUCCCAUUUUAUAUAGGGUACCACAAGAUGUUGUGUCAACAGGUG